UUUAAUAUUUCAGAACUGCUGGAUGAAAAAAUCAAUUGACAUCUCGUGGCGCUGCAAGUUACAGAAAAAUAAAAUGUAAGAUGAAAAGAAGAAACCCAGACUGAUGUUUCAAGGCUUUACCUAUACCAAAUCAGGAAAUUCACUACUUCUGGGGUAAAAAUAAAUACAUUUUUACAAGCUGAGCCAGCAGCAGAAAUCUGAAUGGUGAAACAACUGGUUUUUGAUCAUGCAGGUCAGACCAAGCUUCUUCCAUCAAAUAAGGUAUCACUCUGGACCUCACUGAAACAUGGUGGUGAAUUUACACAUUGGAAAUGAGACUGAAGGAAGCACUUCACCAUAAAGGGAAAAGUCCUUGUAGACACUGAUAUUCACCCUGGUUAUCUCUGAGAAGAGACCCUGCAAGAGGAAAAUGUUCAAAAUUGGGUAACACCGUACUCAGAGCUUCCUGAGAGUAAGUAAAGAACAAGUACAGAAACACUGCUGCAACAAAGCCUGCAGUUAAAUUUGAGCAAAAUUUCGUAACUCCUGGGUCUUAUCUGUUACAAAUAUUUUGUAACUUUCUUUGGCAAUUCAGUAAACUUAGAAAAAACCCCAAAAGCUUUAAGCUUUCAGGCAGCAAAAUCUCCCUUUGAUUAUUUAUAUUUGAAGAAAGCUCUCUGAAUCUUAAAAAUUGCCUUAUGAUGGCUAGGUCUCAAAAAAACCCCAAAAACAUGUAGGAGGCACAGAGGUGCAAUAGCUUACAUGCCUAAUGUGCUGUCAAGUGAAUACUUUCAAGAACAACCCUUUAGCCAUUUAGAGGGGGAGGAAAUGCUUUAAAGGCAGGCUAAUGGCUGUCAGGCUGUGUGCAAUAUUAGUCAGAAUAUGAAACUGCAGCAGUAGUCACAGUGUUACUUAUCAGCAUGUGAGCAGGGUAACUUCCCCUCAGUAACCUGGGAAGUGAAUUAUGUCCCUUUUCCACCUCCCUGCCCCCACUGCCCCCAGCUCCUAUGGAUGACAACAUGUGUGAGUACAAAAAAAAGCUGCAAUUCAGGUUCAAAAUUCAUUCCAUGUAUCUCACAAGGGGAAAUGCAUUUGAUAAACUAGUACAAAAAGUGUUUGGAUUUUUGUUUAUCCUGGGUUUUUUUUUUCCCUUUUGUCCCCACUGUAGCAGCUU